rnacentral:tRNA from 1 species
GGGGCUGUAGCUCAGUGGCAGAGCAUUUGUCUAGCAUGCAUGAGGCACUGGGUUCAAUCCUCAGCACCA